rnacentral:rRNA from 1 species
CACCUGGUGGCGAGUGGCGAACGGGUGAGUAAUACAUCGGAACAUGUCCUGUAGUGGGGGAUAGCCCGGCGCAAAGCCGGAUUAAUACCGCAUACGAUCUACGGAUGAAAGCGGGGGACCUUCGGGCCUCGCGCUAUAGGGUUGGCCGAUGGCUGAUUAGCUAGUUGGUGGGGUAAAGGCCUACCAAGGCGACGAUCAGUAGCUGGUCUGAGAGGACGACCAGCCACACUGGGACUGAGACACGGCCCAGACUCCUACGGGAGGCAGCAGUGGGGAAUUUUGGACAAUGGGCGAAAGCCUGAUCCAGCAAUGCCGCGUGUGUGAAGAAGGCCUUCGGGUUGUAAAGCACUUUUGUCCGGAAAGAAAUCCUUGGUUCUAAUAUAGCCGGGGGAUGACGGUACCGGAAGAAUAAGCACCGGCUAACUACGUGCCAGCAGCCGCGGUAAUACGUAGGGUGCGAGCGUUAAUCGGAAUUACUGGGCGUAAAGCGUGCGCAGGCGGUUUGCUAAGACCGAUGUGAAAUCCCCGGGCUCAACCUGGGAACUGCAUUGGUGACUGGCAGGCUAGAGUAUGGCAGAGGGGGGUAGAAUUCCACGUGUAUCAGUGAAAUGCGUAGAGAUGUGGAGGAAUACC